rnacentral:lncRNA from 1 species
GUUACAAUAGGAGUACUUUUGAGCAAAGUCCUUUGAACCCAUUAAAUUCUCUCUUCCUCCUUUAGGAUUAUUGAUUGCAGUUGGCAGGGGCAGCCGGUCUGUGUGUGACGUUACAGCCCUGCAGCGCUACCAGCCCCACUGAGUGCUGUCGUGGUGUUUCUGCUGGGAGAGCUAGGCUAAGUCUGAGUGCUUUGCCUUGUCUUUUUGGCUCUAAUCUUCGGCUUCUUGAAAGCUGCUUUGGAUGUGCUGUGUGAAAAGAUGUCAGGGACAAGGGUGCCAGACCGAAGGAAUGCACACCAGUGCCUCUGCAGUAGUGAAGGAUGGGGUGCAGAGCCUCCAGUACAGAAUGGAAAGAGUGAGAAUGGAGACUGGGAGCUAGGAAACGAGUGAGAAAGAC